CGGUGGCCUAGUGUUUAAAGCGUCCGCCUCGGAUGCGGGAGGUCGAGAGUUAGAUCCUGGCCAGGUCGU